rnacentral:rRNA from 1 species
CCGAGUUUACAACUCCCAAACCCAAUGUGAACGUUACCAAACUGUUGCCUCGGCGGGAUCUCUGCCCCGGGUGCGUCGCAGCCCCGGACCAAGGCGCCCGCCGGAGGACCAACCAAAACUCUUAUUGUAUACCCCCUCGCGGGUUUUUUUAUAAUCUGAGCCUUCUCGGCGCCUCUCGUAGGCGUUUCGAAAAUGAAUCAAAACUUUCAACAACGGAUCUCUUGGUUCUGGCAUCGAUGAAGAACGCAGCGAAAUGCGAUAAGUAAUGUGAAUUGCAGAAUUCAGUGAAUCAUCGAAUCUUUGAACGCACAUUGCGCCCGCCAGUAUUCUGGCGGGCAUGCCUGUCCGAGCGUCAUUUCAACCCUCGAACCCCUCCGGGGGGUCGGCGUUGGGGAUCGGCCCUGCCUUGGCGGUGGCCGUCUCCGAAAUACAGUGGCGGUCUCGCCGCAGCCUCUCCUGCGCAGUAGUUUGCACACUCGCAUCGGGAGCGCGGCGCGUCCACAGCCGUUAAACACCCAACUUCUGAAAUGUUGACCUCGGAUCAGGUAGGAAUACCCGCUGAACUUAAGCAUAUAA